rnacentral:lncRNA from 1 species
AAAGAUUGUCUACUCAUAAUCGCUGGGGUUAAAACAAUCUAAUUAAAUAAAAUCAGAAUCUGCCACGCAAGUUUUAUGCCCUAAUAAGCCAUUCAAUUAAGCAUAGGGUGAGAGGAUGAGGAUUGAAUAUUUAACCAAAUUUGCACACAUGGUACAGGAGGGUUGAUUCAACAAAGGAAGAAAAUGGAGGACCUUUAACAGUGCUUAGCUUAGAAACCAAAACAAAUAAACAAAAGCAACAAAGCAAGCAUCUACAAAUGAAAAACAUCUAUGUCGACCAUGAAUAAAGAUACUCUAAUGGGCUACAUCUAGUUUCAUGCACAAAAACAGCUGUGGACUAGCACUACUAGUGAGAUGUGUUACUUGCAACAUCAGCUCUGUCGAGAGUCGAGGGUUGCCAUUUACCAU